AAUUUAGUGUGUGUGUGUAUAUAAUGUAGUGUGUGUGUGUGUGUGUGUGUUUAAUGCACACACUACACACACUGCAUUAUAUACACACACACACUGCAU